rnacentral:rRNA from 1 species
UACGUAGGGGGCUAGCGUUGUCCGGAAUCAUUGGGCGUAAAGCGCGCGUAGGCGGCCCGGUAAGUCCGCUCUGAAAGUCCAGGGCUCAACCCUGGAAAGCGGGUGGAUACUGCCGGGCUAGAGUCCGGAAGAGGCGAGUGGAAUUCCUGGUGUAGCGGUGGAAUGCGCAGAUAUCAGGAAGAACACCCGUGGCGAAAGCGGCUCUCUGGAACGGUACUGACGCUGAGACGCGAAAGCGUGGGGAGCGAACAGG